UAGGGAAUCUUCCGCAAUGGGCGAAAGCCUGACGGAGCAACGCCGCGUGAGUGAUGAAGGUCUUCGGAUCGUAAAACUCUGUUAUUAGGGAAGAACAAAUGUGUAAGUAACUAUGCACGUCUUGACGGUACCUAAUCAGAAAGCCACGGCUACCUACGUGCCAGCAGCCGAGGUAAUACGUAGGUGGCAAGCGUUAUCCGGAAUUAUUGGGCGUAAAGCGCGCGUAGGCGGUUUUUUAAGUCUGAUGUGAAAGCCCACGGCUCAAACGUGGAAGGUCAUUGGAAGCUGGAAAACUUGGGUGCAGAAGAGGAAAGUGGAAUUCCAUGGGUAGCGGUGAAAUGCGCAGAGAUAUGGAGGAACACCAGUGGCGAAGGCGACUUUCUGGUCUGUAACUGACGCUGAUGUGCGAAAGCGUGGGGAUCAAACAGG
rnacentral:rRNA from 1 species